rnacentral:rRNA from 1 species
GAUGAACGCUGGCGGCGUGCUUAACACAUGCAAGUCGAACGAAGCACCUCUCCCGAUGAUUGACACAGCUUGCUGUAGAUUGAUUCAUUUGAGGUGACUGAGUGGCGGACGGGUGAGUAACGCGUGGGUAACCUGCCUCAUAGAGGGGGACAACAGUUGGAAACGACUGCUAAUACCGCAUAGUAAGAAGAAUUCGCAUGUUUUCUUCUUGAAAGAUUUAUCGGUAUGAGAUGGACCCGAGGCGGAUUAGCUAGUUGGUAAGGUAGGGGCUUACCAAGGCGUGGAGGGGUAGCCGGACUGAGAGGGGGACCGGCGACAUGGGGACGGAGAGACGGCGCAGACUGCUACGGGAGGCAGCAGGGGGGAAGAUUGCACAAGGGGCGGAAGGCUGAUGCAGAAACGCCGCGGGCGGGAUGACGGGCUUCGGGUUGUAAACCGCUUUCGCCUGGGACGAAGCGUGAGUGACGGUAAUGGGUAAAGAAGCACCGGCUAACUACGUG